GUCGGGUAAGUCCUACACGACCAGCUCCCCCCGAACUCCGUCAGGUCUUGAUCGAAGCAGCGGUAGGGGGUCGUAGCGGUGCGAUGUAGUAAGCUUACCCU
rnacentral:SRP_RNA from 1 species